AUUUUCUAGACGGCAGCAACAGCAGCAGCAGUCGUAAAUGCGUGAGUGCGUGACCGCGGACGGACGUUGCUAGAAGUGCGUUCAAUCGAAAGUGUCCAUUAAAACGGUAUUCACAGCAAACGUUUUGUGGAUACAAACAGUUCUUCAUGUAAAAACGUGCAGAAAACAGAAUUCAAAGCUAUGUGAAGGGUAAUGGUAUCAUAUACAUACAUACACACCAUAAGUGAGUGUAUUCUCGUGCGUGACGGGCGAAAAAGUGCAUAGUGUGUCCGGCUUGUGUGCGUGUGUGCAUGGUGGGUCUGUUUGUGGGCCGAAGUUUUUGAUAGAAAAUGAUGCCUUUUCAGUGCUGGAAAAUUGAGCUACCAAUAAUACGUACGAAAACAGCUCUCCAUCCGUGACGCGUCGUGCUGCACCGUGGUGGAUUUAGCGCCCUUUUUUCCUCAGUGAGCGCUUUUUUGUUGUUGUAUCCAGUUUGCUUCGUGCUGCGCGGCUUCAAUCAAAAGAAGCGAAAGGGGUGUGCAAAAGUGUGUGCCUGUGUGUGUGUCCGUGUGUGUGCGUUGAAUAAAAAAAAACAACAACGGAAACACCGAGAGUGCGUGUACAUUGCGGCAGCAUCAGAUUGCGGUUGUGUGAGAAGAGCGCGUUGGAAGAAGCGCAGUUGCUAAGCAUCCGUUUUUGCCCAUCGUGUCAGCAUUGUUUGUAGUGUAAAACUUCAAAAAGCAGUCAUGCGACGCAACAAUCGCACCCGUGCUGGUGCUGGAAUAGGCGGAGGAGGAGCAGUUGUGGCCGUCCCGAUCAAUCCUAGUGUCAGCGGCACCAGCGGCCGGCUUACGACGCGCGGACAGGACAAACGCCCACUGGAAGACUACCGAGAUCUCGAGAUGCUACAGCAACAGCCCAGCAGCAGCAGUAGCAGCAGUAACAGAAGCAGCAGCACCCGGAAGAUGCCCACACGGACGUCCUCGCGACCCGUCGGUACCAUCUACUCGAUAACGAACAUAGAAAGCGUGAAAAACAAAAUGUCAUCCAUACUGUCCGGGUAUGGCAAAAUGAAGGGACUGUCGGAAUCCAUCCAUCCGGCCGAGCUCAUCGAGCAGGUGGUGGCCGACAAGAUGCAGCAGGAUAAGUUGAAACAAAUGCAACGUCAAAGACACCUAACGGGUUCGGGUGGCGGUGGACCACAGUCAUCCGGUGGUGGCGGUAACAGUGCCACGUACCGGCAUCUGCUCAACACCGACCUGACCAAUGAUUCGGAUGGAACGAGUGGGGAUGAGGAGCAGGAGGAGGAGGAGGAGGAGGGCGAAGAGAAUGAAGGCGUGAACGAUAUCUGCCAGCAGGCUCACGAAGGGCUGCAGCUGAUCGACGAGGAGGAAAGUGAAAGGUCCGAAUCGGAAGUGAAUUCCUCGUCCGGUUGGUCCAAGCGUAAGAAGGGCGGAAGGACAACAGUGGAUUUGUCCGCCUGCGAUACCACAUCGUCCAUACACGGUGACGAUGGGGAGGCAGAGGAUGAAGAAGCGGAAGAUGAGGAGUACGAAACGCAGGAAGACCCCGAAGACAUGCAGGGCGAGGAAGAGUACGAGGAGCUGGAUGCCGAUCAGUACGUGGUGGAUGAUGAGCAGGAAGAGCUGGACGACGAGCAGGACCAGGAGGAUGAUGAGGACGUCGAGGAUGAUGUGGAAGAUGAACAUGAACCAGUCGAUACGACGGACGAGCUGCAGCAGCAGGACGACGGUGAAGACGGCGAGGAAGAAGACGAGGCUGAGGAUGAGGUGGAAGAGGAAGUGGACGAGGACGAUGACGAUGAUGACGUGCAGGAGGUGAUCGAUGUGGAGGAGCACGAUCAGAAGCGACAGCAGGAAAGCAGCGGCAAGCAGAAACAGACCAACGGGGACAGAACGUCGAAGGGUGGCCACAAGCGGACGGACAGUGUCAUCUACAAUGGCACGCAUACGGCGCCCCAGCUAUCGCAGGCGGAUGUGGACGAGCGGGAGAUGAUUAAGAUAUCGGCCAUCAAUACUAAAGUUCAACUUAACGACCAGGACAAAGUGAGUUUGGACGACUUCGAGAUGCUAAAAGUCCUUGGAACGGGAGCCUACGGGACGGUGUACUUGGUGCGCAAGCUGACCGGUGUGGACAAGAACAAAAUCUACGCCAUGAAAGUGCUGAAGAAGGGUAUCGUCAGCCUGAAGAAAAAGACCGCAGAACACACACGAACCGAACGACAGGUGCUUGAAGCGAUACAGGAAGCUCCGUUUCUGGUCACGAUGCACUACGCCUUCCAGACGGAAUCGAAGCUGUACCUCAUUCUGGACUAUGUGAUCGGUGGCGAACUGUUCACGCUGCUUUGCAAACGAUUGCUGUUUGAAGAAUCGGCCGUACAGAUCUACAUUGCCGAGAUCAUAGUUGCAAUUGAACAUCUGCACAAGCUCGGUAUCGUGUAUCGGGACAUCAAGCUGGAAAACAUUCUCGUCGACAUGGACGGCCAUAUUGUGCUGACCGACUUCGGGCUGUCCCGCGAGCUUGUCUACGAAAACGAGCGUGCCCACAGCUUCUGCGGCACGGUCGAGUACAUGGCGCCGGAAAUACUGAAACCAACGCAGCAGGGCCACGACACUGCCGUCGACUGGUGGUCGGUCGGUGUGCUAACGUUCGAGCUGCUUACCGGCGCGUCACCGUUCGCGGCCGAACCCAACGACAUUGCCCGCCGUAUCACGGAGACGGAAGCGAUCAUUCCGGAAAAUUUAUCCGCCGAAGCGACCGACUUUAUCCGCAAGCUGCUGGUGAAGGAUCCGAAGCGCAGGCUGGGCAGCGGCAAAUCGGAUGCGUCCGAGCUGAAGUCCCAUCCGUUCCUGCGCUCGAUCAACUGGUCCCGGUUGGUGCGGAAACAGAUACAGGCCCCGUUUCCACCGGUGGCCGAGAAUGAUCGCGAUACGCGCAACUUUAGCUCGGAGUUUACCAAGCUGGAUGUGGUGGAAAAUCCGUGCAACCCGCCAAAGAAUGCUGACCGGUUGUUUAGGGGUUACUCCUACGUUUCACCGAAGCUCCUUACCAAAAACGUCGCCGAUCGGAACAAGUUCAUCCCGAUCCACAAUAUGCGCCCGCAGGAGAACUACAUCAGACAAACGGCGUCGAAGCAAUCGCCCUUCUUCCGCAAGUACACCCUGACGAGCGAUUCAGCCAUCGGAGUCGGUUCGUACUCGACGUGCUUCAAGUGCCAGCGGUUACGCAGCAGCAGCUACUUCGCCGUUAAGAUUCUGUUCAAUCACCCACAUACGGCCGGGUUCGCCAAACACGAGGCGGAAGCAUUGCGUGAACUGCAAGGCCAUCCAAACGUGGUGCAGUUUGUGGAGAUGAUGGAAGACAAAGACUACAUAUAUCUCGUGCUCGAGCUGCUCGAUGGUGGUGAGCUGUUGCAGCGCAUCAAUCGACAACCGAGCCAGCAAACGGAGUCCCGCAUUCGGGGCUACUUUUCCCAGAUGGUAGAUGCGGUCGCCUUUAUCCAUCGGCAAGGCUACGCCCACCGCGACCUGAAGCCGGAAAACAUUAUCUUCGAGCGUGCGUCCAACGAUCGGUUACGGUUGAUCGAUUUCGGGUUUGCCCAGCGGCUGGACAGCAAUACCGGUGAAAGCAGGAUCCCGGCCGGCACGCUCGGCUAUACAGCGCCUGAAGUGAUCAGCAAUAUGCACACGGAUGGUACCACCACCACCACCACCAUCUCCAAUUCUUCGUACUCCCUUGAAACGACCGAUCUGUGGUCGCUCGGCGUCAUCCUCUACACGAUGCUGUGUGGUCAGGCACCGUUCACACCGCGUCAGUUCUUCGGCCACGACAAUCUCGCCUCGACCUCGAAGCAGAUGGAAAUCAUUACCGACAAAAUACGGCGCGGUUCGUUCGAUCUCAGCUCCAGCAUCUGGAUGGGUGUGAGCGAAAGUGCGAAGAAUCUGGUCCGUGCGCUGCUCACCGUCAACCCGGAGCAGCGCAUUACGAUGCAGGAGCUGCAGAGUCACGACUGGUUGCUGUGUGACGUGAGCAAGCGUCGGGGGCAGCAGUCCUCGCUGGCUGCGUACAGCCGUGGAUUGCCGAGCCAGGCGAAGGUACCGUUCGACAAGCUGCAGACAAACGUGCGCAACACGUACGAUGCAUUUAAGCUGGCGGAAGAGAAUGGUUUCCGGUUGCACAAGGAGGGCGCUUUUCGGCGAAGGAGCUUAGGCAGUGCAAUGCUACAGACGCAAACGAUGACGAUAACGACGGCGGCGACGACGACGACGACCCCGGUUCCACCUGCGCACCGGGAACGGAGAACGACGAACAUUGGAGCUCAUGCUGCCGGGCUGGUAGACAAGACUCAUUCGACAACCGUAGUGCCUAACCAUCAUAACGCUCUCAGCAGCGGCAGUAGUAGUGGUAGCAGUAGUAGUAAUAGCAAAACCAAACGAACACACCAACAGAAGAACGAUCUUCCGGUCUCGAGCACGAAAUCGAUCGAAUCGCAGUACAGCAGCUCGAUGGAGGAAAGCACAUCGAGCGGUAUUGGGCGCAGCAAAAGCAGCAAAAGCAGUCUGUCCCACUCUGGCAGCCCGAUGCGCGAUACGCGCCAAAUGUCCAACAGUUCCGUCGUGAUCGUGAUCGAUGAGGAGGAAGAUGAGGUGCACCGGGACGUGCUGCAGAACGGAUCGGGAUCGGAGCCGGCUGUGAAUGUAGCGGCCGCGAAAGACCCAGCGGAAGUUUCGAUUGCCGUCGAAGAUAUUUCGCUUGCGUCAUCGGAUAGCGGCACGAAGCAAAAGACGACCGAGGAGCCCGAAAGUGUGGUGGAAGAACAGACGGAUGAAAUUGUGGUCGAUGUCGAGGAGGAAGAGGAACCGGUUAAAGAGAAUCAGCCGGAAGAAGAAGAAGAAGAAGAAGAAACGCACGUGGAAACGGCGGCCGUGGUAUGUAGCAGAAAGUCGUCGGCCGAAAACAACAAUAAUGACGUGCCGACGAUCAAACCCCAGUCCCGCCCGGCGUUCGAAAAACCGACCAAGCAUGCUAGGAAGGAACGCGUGAAGCUACUUCCACCGCACGCAAUGCUUUCGGAAGUGCGGCAAAUUAUGAGCGAAGAGGACUUUUCCGACACGACAAAAGAAUUGCUCGGAGCUGCGAUGAACCUAGAGACUAGUCCACUGCGGGCCGAUAAGGAAAAUGAGCCCGCGCCGGUUGAAGCGACUAGCAUCAGCAGUAGCAGCAGCAGCAGUAGAAUUAGUAGGUAUGGUAGAGUUUGUAAGGCGGUUGAUGUGCCCGCACCACACCGGACUGCAAAGGUGACAAUUAAAAAGGAAAAGGAUAGUUCCGUCCCCGUCCAACCAGCACCAUCCGCGUCGUUACCCGCGAAAAACCUACUAUUCGCACCGAAGCUAAUGAACCGCGAGUUUGUAGAAUUCCGGGACGUUCAGUGUAAGCUGAUGCCGCGGGCCCUUUCCGCCCAAACGCGCGACGACGACGAUGACGGCAGCGAUACGGUGUACCUUGGUUGCGUGGACGACGCUGAACCGUACCGUGGGUUCGAUGAGGAGGAGUGUGAGCAGUUCGUCGGCUGCUCCGAGUACGAUCAGAUCAUACGCACCAAGCUGUCGAUGAUGCGGAUCAAGCAGCAGCCGGUCGGCGAGGGAUAUCCGUACAGUGUGCUGGGUGUGAUCGUGCCGCAACCACCGAGACGGAUCACCAAACGGCGCAUGGAAGUGGAUGCGAUCGGUGUCGAAGGGUUGGGUGUUGUUGCUACGGAUGUGGUCGUCUACGAACCGCGGCCGAAACGUUUGCGACAAAUAGAACGCGUCAACUAUUCACUGUCGAGUCGAAGAAACACGUACGUGCACGGACGGCAGUCGAUCGCCAUCAAGCGUGAGGUGUGCUGAACCCCCGGGCCCCUGGGUAAGCAUCGUACGCGUCGUGUUAAUAGGCGUAUGAUUAGUUUGUCUGUAUUAAACCAUCAGUACUGUGAAAGAGAGAGUGAGAGAGACUCCUUUUUCGAAGCUUAUUGAUACCUUUUUUUUCCCUUAACUAUCUUCUUAAGGGUUAUUUUCCAAAGUACUAUGAAGGUGAUCGUGGAAAGGCGUGAUUCAUUGCACCCAGAGAUAUGAGGUUGGAUUCUUUUAAGGGUCACACACACAUACAUAUGUUAAAACACAAACAGAACGGUUAUAGUUUAUCGUUUUCGAUUUUUUUUAACAUUAUCGAGCCUUAUUUUUUACACGUUAUAUAUGAAAAGAAGUAUCUUUAUUCGAUAUUCUUUGCUGCUGUAGUUUUCUAUGUGUUUAAAAACAGAUUCAUUGUAUUUUAAUCCCUUUUUUCAUACUUCUACGAGAGCUGUGUAUAUUCCUUUUUUUAAACGAUGGGAGUUUUGGGGUGGAUGUACUGUCUCCAAUGUACUGCCAAUGCAUUGGUAGAGAGCGAUGGACAACAUGGACCGCAUAAUGUAGGAAGGGGGGGUGGGGGGGGGGGUUGUGGCAGGAAUUUUGUUGUUGCUGUACAUACAAAAAAUAACAAAGAGAAAGUGCACUUACAAUGAAGCAAACAAACCGGUUGCUCUUCAUGUUCAGGAUGAAAGACAUAAAACGAAACCGUAACCGUGUUAGUAAGAGAAGAAUCUCAUCCAUCUCGGUGUGUGUGGUGCGUAUUGGGUUAAGCAGAUAAACAAAUCAAAGCUACACACACACAACUAGAAUAGGAAAACACAGUGAUUUAUGGAAAAGAAGAAGAAAAAAUAGUGUGAAAAUCUUCCAUAUCCUUCUAAAAAAAAGUACACACACUCUCACAUACUACUACGAUGGUACGACGAAUUUAAAAAGUGCGUUUUUCAACACACGCACACGCACACAAGCUAAUUUAUGCAAAACGAAAACCCGUACAUUAUUUGCAUAUCGAUUGUGGUGCAGACAAAAUCGUUUUGAAUUAGAAAUUGUAUAUAUAUAGAAAUUCUUGUGCAAAAAGAAUAUUCUUUAAAUCCGUACUAUUUUUCUUUCUUUAAGGACGCGCGAAAAUGUAGAUAAUGAUGUGUGUGUGUGCGUGUGAGGUGCAUAGGGAAAAGAAGACCAAAGUAGUAAAGCAAACAAGCCUUAAGGGAGGAAACCGGCAUAGAUACGAACUAUACCUGGCUCUUGCGGGGAACCAUAGCAACACAGGAAUAGAAAAGAAACAAAAAAGGAACAGUAAUUUAAGCAGCAUAGUUUAUGUGUAAGAAUCGAAAACCACAACGUGUAUAUCAAACGGUUUUGCUAAGCGAGUUUAACAAUGCAUGGGGGGGGGGGGCAGCUGUCUGGGGGAGAAGGAGUAGACGAGGCGUAGUUUUUAUUGUACGUAUCUAGGAUUUAAAUUAAAUCAACACAUAUAAGUACGGAUAGCAUUACGGACCGGAAACCGCACGAGCCGGAAGCCGGUCGCCGGUCGCUAAUUAAUGGUAAAUACCCGUAGCCGUUUUAUUAAGCAAACAAAGUGAAACAAAACAACAAAAAAACGGUAGCAAAUAAAUUGUAGCAGUAUGUUCCAUUAAUUUAAACUCUUACCACACACACAUACACAACAAUGCACAACGCGAUGUGGUGGAAAUUUUAUGAAGUAGGAUUACAGAAACAACACAGUAACGUACAUGUAAAUUUAAUAUGAAACCCAUCUAGGCAAGGAUGCGACCUCAAACAGGGGUGCCUGCCGGGUGAUGCUUCAUAUCAAAACCAAUAAAAGGAGGAGUAAAUGUCGUUUAAAGAUUGUGCCCGCGCGCGAUAUUUGUUUUUAUAAUUUAUAUCCUAGCCAGACACCAGACACACACACAACACGCUGAACUAGAGAAGUAUAAUAGUUAAGCAAAACAAUUAAGCAGCUAUGAUAUUCUCACAAUUUAUGGUUUUAUCGCUGUAGUUUCCGUUGCCUGGAGACCGACCUGUAGUAAAAAUGUACAGGAAGCCGUUUGCAACAAAAAAGAAGAAAAAAACAGGAAUAAAAGCUGGAAAUUCGCACCAGAGCAAGAGACUGUACGAAGAGGGAGGUGGUGGGAGGUGAAAUGACGAUAAGAAGAGAAAAAAGUUUAAGUAAAAUAUAUAUUAAAAAAUGCAAACACAUAGUUUGAUAAAUAGUCACACCACAAACAGACACACACAGAGCAGUGUAACGAAAUAGAGAGGUCGAGUGAACGAGAUAGAGUGUAGCAAACAAUUAACAAGGAGUGUGUUUUCCUCAUGUAACGUUACAUACAUUACUAGCUAAAAAAUAAUAAUAAUAACGUUUGCUUUUUUAUCAUUUUUUUUCGUAGCUUCUGUUGUUUGUUUGCUUUCAUUUUUUUUGUGUUCAAUUUUGUUCGUUUUCCUUUGAGCAUGCUGCUCGAUUGUUUAAGUAAUUAGUAAAUUCAAGCGCAGAGAGAAUAAGCGGAGAACAACACUUACUUGUAAGAAGAUGCUUCGUUUUGUUUCCUUCUCUUAGGUUGUAAGAGGGCCAAUCAUAUUGGUGUGUGUGUGUGUGUGAGUGUUUCAAAGGUUUUAAUUUAAUAAUAUCAUUCGUACGUUUGAAUUUGUAAACUCAACAACAACAACAAGCCAACCCAACCAACCAACGCGUUGGAUGGUUUCACACCACCGAUGAGCGUUUUGCUCAUCAAUGCCCUGGAACACAAAUUCAGACCAAUAUUUAGUAAAUAUUAUACACAAAUGUAUGGAGCAUACAGAAGAAAAAGGAAAAACAUAAGAGAAAAAAAAACCAUGGGAAUAGUUUGAAAACCUCACAACAACAUAUGGACAGAAUAAAUACAACAAAAAAUGAACGAAA